GAAAGAUUUAUGCCUACCUACUUAAAAAUAUAUAAUCUUUAGCACAAGGCUUGAACAGUAAUGAUGCAUAUUGAAGAGUUGGAUUAUAGGACACAUUUUCUAUUUUUGACAUUUCCUUUGUGUUGUUACAUCAAUAACAUUCUUGAAAAAGGAAGAAAGAAAGAAAUGGUGUUCUAUAAAGUCUCUUCAGUACCCUGUGAUUUGGGUACUCAUAAUAGAGUAAAGUAAAGGGUUUCAUUAUGCUUUGUUUUGCUAACGGACGUCUGAUGUCCUUCUCCUGGUGUGAUUUUCAUUAUAGCUAGUUUCAAAGUGCUUGAAUUGGGAUUAGUUACUUAGUGAGAGUCUUCAUGUUCUGUUAGUUACUAACACCAAUUUUUAUGUGGCUUGAAAUGCAGAAUUCAUCACUAUUCUGAAUUCUUUAAAGUGUGAACCACCAUGACCUUGAAAAUCCCCAAAGAGGAAGACCUAGGUUUGAAUGAUACCACCGUUAAACAAGGGGUUUUAGAUCCUUCAUCCGCCCUUCAAGCCUAUUCCUUUCACAGGGCACAGGACUUUAUAGGUUGAUGUGAAUUGAUGCUGCUUGGUUAUGGAAGUGAGCUCACUAGAAUUAAAGCCUUGCCCGCUUAUUCAUGGAAGUUGGCAGGUCCCAGGAAACGAGCUCUUGGGCAGGGCUUUGUUCUUAUAAAAAUUAAUGGAAAAUAUCCCACUGGUUAAAUGACAUUUGUAGCAAAAGGAGUACCCUAAAAUGUAUUUCUAUUCUGUGAGAUGUAGAAACACCCAUUAUAGACAUUCACAAAAUAAUGAUUUGAGAAACAAGUGUAUAUAAUGCAAUGAAAAUAGUUCAUAUCUAUAAGUUUCUUUGGGGUGUUUGAAUGUUUAUAUUCCAUCACUCACCUCCUCUCAUGAUCCAGAUAAAAAGUUAAACAGCCUGUAAUCCCAGCACUUUGGGAGGCCGAGGCAGGCAGAUCACGAGGUCAGGAGAUUGAGACGAUCCUGGCUAACACAGUGAAACCCCAUCUCUACUAAAAAUACAAAAAA
rnacentral:lncRNA from 1 species